AUGAGGUUAGAGCUUAAUGACCAAGCUGGAAUUAAUGUAAGUAAAAAUUUUCAAUCUAUGAUUGUUGAAGCGAAUGGAUAUGAUAAUCUUACAUUUGGAGAAAAAGAUUGUAGAAAUUAUAUAGACAAAGUAAGACGUCUUCGACUUGGGACAGGAGAUGUUGAAGCUAUUCAAAACUAUUUUGUUAGAAUGCAAAAGAAAAAUAGUCAAUUUUAUUAUGUAAUGGAUGUGGAUGACAAAAGCCGGUUGUGA